GGUCUGGGAAGGCGUGAAGUCCUCCUCCCCCACCACCACUCCCACGCCAGUGCUGGGAGCCGGGGGCUGCGGGGAGGGCUUGGGGCAGGCCCGGUGCUGGGACCAAGGCUACUGAGGGAGACGGGCGGGGCUGUGCAGAGCCACCGGCACCUGGGCGGGAGGCUUGGGCCUGCCCUGUAGGGUCAGCAAGAGGUCCAAGUAGAAGGAGAACGUGCCCGGAUCUGCGUUUCCAGAAGAUGCAACCUGCUGCAGGGUAGAAGACAGAAGAGGGGGGCAGUGAGUGGCACUGGUGGCACCAGGAGACAGGCUCUGACCUGAGAGCAGGCCCCCAGUGGAGCCCUGCUGGCAGCUUCAAAACACGA